rnacentral:rRNA from 1 species
CGGACCGGCGCACGGGUGAGUAACGCGUAUGCAACCUGCCUGAUACCGGGGUAUAGCCCAUGGAAACGUGGAUUAACACCCCAUAGUACUUUUAUCCUGCAUGGGAUGUGAGUUAAGUGUUCAAGGUAUCGGAUGGGCAUGCGUCCUAUUAGUUAGUUGGCGGGGUAACAGCCCACCAAGACGAUGAUAGGUAGGGGUUCUGAGAGGAAGGUCCCCCACAUUGGAACUGAGACACGGUCCAA